AGUGAACGCUGGCGGUAGGCCUAACACAUGCAAGUCGAACGGCAGCACAGUAAGAGCUUGCUCUUACGGGUGGCGAGUGGCGGACGGGUGAGGAAUACAUCGGAAUCUACUUUUUCGUGGGGGAUAACGUAGGGAAACUUACGCUAAUACCGCAUACGACCUACGGGUGAAAGCAGGGGAUCUUCGGACCUUGCGCGAUCGAAUGAGCCGAUGUCGGAUUAGCUAGUUGGCGGGGUAAAGGCCCACCAAGGCGACGAUCCGUAGCUGGUCUGAGAGGAUGACCAGCCAAACGGGAAAUGGGACACGGGCCAGACCCCUACGGGAGGCAGGAGUGGGGAAUAUUGGAAAAGGGGGGCAAGCCUGAUCCAGCCAUACCGGGGGGGGGAAGAAGGCCUUCGGGUUGUAAAGCCCUUUUGUUGGGAAAGAAAAGCAGCAGGUUAAAACCCCGCUGUUUUGACGGUACCCAAAGAAAAAGCACCGGAAAACUGCGG
rnacentral:rRNA from 1 species